CUUUCUAGCAGAGAGGAUGCCUGGUUUGGCGGUUCCAGGCUAGUUCAGAGUGAGGUCGAGUUUGAAUUGUCAAUUCAGAUGAGUGGCCCGCUUUGCAAUGAACGUCCCCCACAAA
rnacentral:ncRNA from 1 species